UGCUCUCGGACGCUGGCGCUGGCUGGAGCCUAUAAUGAGAUACAAAUUCGAUUACUAAUAAUAAUUUAUAUAAUGUGAUACAUUCGGAUAAUUUCGUGAAACAUAAAAAAAUAUUACCUCCAGGAAGUGUAUAUGCGGGUAUCCUCGGUAGACCCAAUACUCGAUAUCUGUCGGUACUGCUACUAGGGGGAUCCUGAGACGCGACCCAUAGUCUCAGCUCCUAAUCCCGAUCUAAUACAAUAUCGGAAAGAGGGAUGGCGGAAUCUAACGGCUCAGAACCCCUCCUAAUAGUCUCUAGCUCAGUUAUACGCUCAUCCCGAAGCUUCUGAAAUCGGUCCUGUAAUGUAUUCCAUAUACGUAUGUUAAUUAUAUCAUUUUAUUUACGAUUGAAUAUUAUUAAAAGCUAAAUAAUAAGAUGAGUUUUACCCGUAUAGCUAAAGCUGCCUGAGACAAAGCACGCUCGUCCUUAGGCGUGUGGGCUCGAUCCCAAAACUCUAGCAUGGUAGGAUCUCGGCCCAAGGUCCUCCCCAAUGCCUAAUAUAAACAUUCAUAAAAUAGGUCUUAAGUAUUUGUGUGAGAACUUAACACAUAAAUAACUAAAUACAACGCACUUACCGUCUUCACCUCCUCGAACGACUAAGAACCAGUGGUGUGUACUAUCCGGAGCUGACCACAGUUCUUCUUCGCCUGCUCGAACUUUUUCUUGAAGUCAUCAGCCUCCUAGUGAGCACACAUAGCCUCCUAGGCUAAAUCGGAGACUAUAUGGGGCUGAUGAUCUCUGAUGGUGGUCUCGGGCUGGUCCACAUCUGCCCAGGCUGCCUUCUGUCGCAUCUCAUACAGCCAUUCAGAGUAAUUCGCAGUGACGUAAUGCUCAAUCACAGCAUCGCCAGCUGACUGAGAGAUGCUCGGGUCAAAUCGAU
rnacentral:lncRNA from 1 species